rnacentral:tRNA from 1 species
GAUAAGUUUUUAAGGGCUGCUAACUCUUGAUAUAGCGAGUAGCUACUUUAUGA